rnacentral:rRNA from 1 species
GUGGGGAAUAUUGCGCAAUGGGGGAAACCCUGACGCAGCAACGCCGCGUGAGUGAUGAAGGCUUUCGAGUCGUAAAACUCUGUCUUUGGGGACGAAUAAUGACGGUACCCAAGGAGGAAGCCCCGGCUAACUACGUGCCAGCAGCCGCGGUAAUACGUAGGGGGCAAGCGUUGUCCGGAAUCACUGGGCGUAAAGGGCGCGUAGGCGGUUUGUUAAGUCAGGUGUGAAAGUUUUCAGCUUAACUGGGAAAGUGAAAUUGAAACUAACUUACUUGAGUACUGGAGAGGUAAGCGGAAUUCCUAGUGUAGCGGUGAAAUGCGUAGAUAUUAGGAAGAACACCGGUGGCGAAGGCGGCUUACUGGACAGAGACUGACGCUGAGGCGCGAAAGCGUGGGGAGCGAACAGGAUUAGAAACCCGAGUAGUCC